rnacentral:tRNA from 1 species
UCCCCGGUGGUCUAGUGAUUAGGAUUCAGUGCUUUCACCACUGCAUCCCAGGUUCGAUCCCUGGUCUGGGAA